CAGCAGCCGCGGUAAAACGUAGGGUGCAAGCGUUAAUCGGAAUUACUGGGCGUAAAGCGUGCGCAGGCGGUUAUAUAAGACAGAUGUGAAAUCCCCGGGCUCAACCUGGGAACUGCAUUUGUGACUGUAUAGCUAGAGUACGGCAGAGGGGGAUGGAAUUCCGCGUGUAGCAGUGAAAUGCGUAGAUAUGCGGAGGAACACCGAUGGCGAAGGCAAUCCCCUGGGCCUGUACUGACGCUCAUGCACGAAAGCGUGGGGAGCAAACAGGAUUAGAGACCCCAGUAGUCCCUGUCUCUUAUAC
rnacentral:rRNA from 1 species